rnacentral:rRNA from 1 species
UACGUAGGGUGCAAGCGUUAAUCGGAAUUACUGGGCGUAAAGCGUGCGCAGGCGGUUUUGUAAGUUUGUCGUGAAAUCCCCGGGCUCAACCUGGGAAUUGCGAUGGAGACUGCAAGGCUAGAAUCUGGCAGAGGGGGGUAGAAUUCCACGUGUAGCAGUGAAAUGCGUAGAGAUGUGGAGGAACACCGAUGGCGAAGGCAGCCCCCUGGGUCAAGAUUGACGCUCAUGCACGAAAGGCGUGGGGAGCAAACAGGAUUAACGAA